AGCAGUCGCCGCGGUAAUACAGAGGAUGCAAGCGUUAUCCGGAAUUAUUGGGCGUAAAGGGCUCGCAGGCGGUUUCUUAAGUCUGAUGUGAAAGCCCCCGGCUCAACCGGGGAGGGUCAUUGGAGACUGGGAAACUUGAGUGCAGAAGAGGAGAGUGGAAUUCCACGUGUAGCGGUGAAAUGCGUAGAGAUGUGGAGGAACACCAGUGGCGAAGGCGACUCUCUGGUCUGUAACUGACGCUGAGGAGCGAAAGCGUGGGGAGCGAACAGGAUUAGAUACCCCGCGUAGUCCCUGUCUCUUAUA
rnacentral:rRNA from 1 species